UACGGAGGGUGCGAAGCGUUAAUCGGAAUUACUGGGCGUAAAGCGUGCGUAGGCGGUUCGUUAAGUCUGUUGUGGAAAGCCCCGGGCUCAACCUGGGAAUGCAAUGGAUACUGGCGAGCUAGAGUGUGUCAGAGGGAUGGUGGAAUUCCCGGUGUAGCGGUGAAAUGCGUAGAGAUCGGGAGGAACACCUGAGGUGAAGACGGGUUGCUGGGCCAACACUGACGCUGAGGCGCGAAAGCCAGGGGAGCAAACGGGG
rnacentral:rRNA from 1 species